rnacentral:rRNA from 1 species
CCAAUAGCGUAUAUUAAAGUUGUUGCAGUUAAAAAGCUCGUAGUUGAAUUUCGGGGUUAGUAGAUUGGUCGUGCCACUGGUAUGCACUGGUCUUACUGAUUCCUCCUUCCUGAUGAACCGUAAUGCCAUUAAUUUGGUGUUGCGGGGAGACUGGACUGUUACUUUGAAAAAAUUAGAGUGUUUAAAGCAGGCUAACGCUUGAAUACAUUAGCAUGGAAUAAUGAAAUAGGACGUUCGAUCCUAUUUUGUUGGUUUCUAGGAUUGACGUAAUGAUUAAUAGGGAUAGUUGGGGGCAUUAGUAUUCAAUUGUCAGAGGUGAAAUUCUUGGAUUUAUUUAAGACUAACUACUGCGAAAGCAUUUGCCAAGGAUGUUUUCAUUAAUCAAGAACGAAAGUUAGGGGAUCGAAGACGAUCGGAUACCGUCGUAGUCUUAACCAUAAACUAUGCCGACUAGGGAUCGGAUGAUGUUAAUUUUUUAAUGACUCAUUCGGCGCCUUACG